rnacentral:sRNA from 1 species
CUCGUUGGCAGCUAGAAAGCAGUUCUUUGUUUACACAUACAUUUCGUUGGAUUAUUUGUAACUCCCCCGUCGUGUCGUACGCAAUAGCAAUCUACUUUUCCACGCUAUCCGCGCCGAAUUCGGCCCAUAUGUUUAAAUUAGGAUAUUUAUUAUGUCUAACACAGUUACUGGUACUGUAAAGUGGUUCAACGAAACUAAAGGUUUCGGUUUCAUUCAACAAGAAAACGGCCCUGACGUGUUCGCUCACUUCUCAGCUAUCACUGGUGACGGCUUCCGUACUCUUGUUGAAGGCCAAAAAGUUGAGUUCGUAGUAUCUCAAGGUCAAAAAGGCCCACAAGCUGAAAGCAUCAAAGUACUGUAAUUAGUGACUUUUUUGUAAAAAAUAGCCAGCAUUACGCUGGCUAUUUUUUU